GUGGUGGCUCAGUGGUAGAACGCUUGCCUAGCAUGCGUGAGGCCCUGGGUUCAAUUCUCAGCACCACA
rnacentral:tRNA from 1 species